rnacentral:rRNA from 1 species
CACGUAGGGUGCGAGCGUUGUCCGGAAUUAUUGGGCGUAAAGAGCUCGUAGGCGGUGUGUCGCGUCGGCCGUGAAAACCUGCAGCUUAACUGUGGGCUUGCGGUCGAUACGGGCAUCACUAGGGUUCGGCAGGGGAGACUGGAAUUCCUGGUGUAGCGGUGAAAUGCGCAGAUAUCAGGAGGAACACCGGUGGCGAAGGCGGGUCUCUGGGCCGAUACUGACGCUGAGGAGCGAAAGCAUGGGUAGCGAACAGG